GAGAGUGGAGGACAAGUCAGCCCUCACCCCACAGGACAGCCAGGAGAGCCUGCACCGUGGAGCAUGACCGGUGUCAGGAAUGCUGAGAGACACCUGGCUUGGAGGCCAUCUCUGCUGGCUUUCCCUCCCCUUCCUGUCACCGACUGUCCCUGGGGAAGGGGCCUCUAAAGGCACCCAUGGCCCUUGCCACAAGGCAGAUGGGUUGCCGUGGCGGGUGGCUGGUGAUGCCCAGGCUGCGGGAGGCUCUGUUGGGGGCAGGAGCAUGAAGGAAGGAGAUGCUGAGGGAAGGCCACAGUGUGUGUGAUGGGGCAGAGAGCCCAUGUCCCUGAGGAACCCUGGCUACUUAAAGGGAUUUGGGUCUGUGCCGUCGUUGGUAAAAAUGCUUCUGAGGGCCACAUGAUGAGGAGCUCCAAAGGAGCAUGAACUCUCCUGCAUGCCAGAUUUGUUGUUCAUCACUCCCUGGGGUUGGACAGUCCCAGAGGGAAAUGGCUUGUAGGGAUCUUGUGGGUCCUGUCCUGACUUCAUGUCUUCUUCUCCUGUGACCAUGGUGACUUGCAGAUGAACUGCGUGCAACGAAUGGGAACCAGAAGAAGCGGAUCGGUGAGUUCUUCUGAAUCCCUGCGGGCCAUGUGAGCAAGACAAUCAUGGGAGGUGAUUCCAGGGUGGGAUAGCGGAGGGGAAGUCACCCCUGACCGCACAAUAGUGUGAGCCAUCUACCAUGCCAGAGGAGCUUUUCCUCCAUGCGUGGGUUGGACUAUUCCAGAACGGACUGGCUUUUGGAGGCAGAAUAAUAAGUGCAGAUGUGCAGGUUCAGUUUCCUUCCCUGCCUGUGCUGUAGGCUCAGUAAUGGGGAGUUGACUUUGGUAGGGUUGUGCUAUUCCUGGGCUCCUUGGAAUGUCUUUUCCCCCAGCGGGCAUUCAGAAGGGCUGGUGGGAUGUUCUUGUGACUGGGGUGCUCCAGUGUUCCUUUGAUUCAAGGUGCUAAGCAAGGUGUUCUCCCUCUCUUCUUGCAGAGCAGCAGAAGAACGAGAUUGAUGACAUCGUGGUUGAUUGGGACACAGCCCAUCCAAACUUGUCUAUUGCUGGGGACAAGAAGAGUUUCACGUAUCAAUCACAGGUCCAGAAAGUGACUCUCCAUGAGGGCAGUUUUGAUUCCUCUGUCUGCGUGCUGGG